rnacentral:rRNA from 1 species
GACGAACGCUGGCGGCGGGCUUAACACAUGCAAGUCGAACGGAAAGGCCCUGCUUUUGUGGGGUGCUCGAGGGGCGAACGGGGGAGGAACACGUGAGUAACCUGCCCUUGACUUUGGGAUAACUUCAGGAAAGGGGGGCUAAUACCGGAUAGGAGCCGCUGCAGCAUGGAGGGGGGUGGAAAGUUGCGGCGGUUGGGGAUGGACUCGCGGCUUAUCAGCUUGUUGGUGGGGUAGUGGCUGACCAAGGCUUUGACGGGUAGCCGGCCUGAGAGGGUGACCGGCCACAUUGGGACUGAGAUACGCACCAGUCUCCUACGGGGGGCAACAGUGGCGAGUCUUGCCCAGUCGGCCGAAGCGUGAUGCAGAGACGCCGCGUGCGUAAUGACGGCCUUCGGGUUGUAAACCGCUUUCGCCUGUGACGAAGCGUGAGUGACGGUAAUGAGUAAAGAAGCACCGGCUAACUACGUG